GACGAACGCUGGCGGCGUGCUUAACACAUGCAAGUCGAACGGAAAGGCCCUGCUUUUGUGGGGUGCUCGAGUCGCGAACGGGUGAGUAACACGUGAGUAACCUGCCCGUGACUUUGGGAUAACUUCAGGAAACUGGUGCUAAUACCGGAUAGGAGCUCCUGCCGCAUGGUGGGGGAUGGAAAGUUUCGGCGGGUGGGGAUGGGCUCGCGUGUUAUCAGCUUGUUGGUGGGGUAGUGGCAUCCCAAGGCUUUGAAGGGUAGGCGGGCGGAGAGGGUGACCCCCCACGGGGGUACGGAGACAGGGACAAGACUGCUACGGGAGGCAGCAGUGAGGGAUAUGGGUCAAUGGUCGGAAGACUGAACCAGCCAUGCCGCGUGCAGGAAGAAUGCCUUAUGGGUGGGAAACUGCUUUUAUAUGGGAAGAAUAAGGCGUACGUGUACGUUGAUGACGGGACCAUAUGAAUAAGCAUCGGCUAAAUCCGUG
rnacentral:rRNA from 1 species